rnacentral:rRNA from 1 species
CUCCCCUAGAUCUAACAGCUUGUGUACUGCCGUCGUAAGCACACCUCUAAAAGAACAAGUAUGCAAUCAUGACUAGUCUCAUAUACGUCAGGUCAAAGUGCAGCCAAUGGGGAAGGUGAUGAUGGGUUACAACCUAAAUAAAGACACGGAAUAAAGUUCUAAUAGCUUUAUAAAAGUGGACUUGGGUGUAAUAAUGACUAAAUACCAAAAUGAAAUCGAAUCUAAGACAUGCACACAUCGCCCGUCACUCUUGCCUAAAGGCAAGAUAAGUCGUAACAAAGUAGGUGUAACGGAAGUUGCACCUGU